AUGGGUGUUACGCACGAUUCGUCUCGGAUACACCAUUCAGUUUCGAAAAGGCCCGCCUCCUUUCCGCGGAAUUCUUCCCACGGUUGUGAAACCAGAGGAAGUCGCGGUGCUGCGGCAAGAAAUGACAGCUCUGCUGAAGAAAGGGGCUAUAGAAGAAGUACACCCCUCUCAGAUGGAGUCAGGUUUUUACAGCCGCUAUUUUGUUGUACCAAAAAAAGGGGGCGGUUUGCGACCCAUAUUGGAUCUACGCCGUUUGAAUCUUGCACUCAGGACGAGCAAAUUCAGGAUGUUAACGGUAAAGUCCAUUUUGUCUCAGAUUCAACCAAACACUUGGUUUGUCACGAUCGAUCUGAAGGAUGCAUAUUUUCAUAUUCAGAUCAUCAAGAGACACAGGAAGUUCCUCAGAUUCGCUUUAGAGGGCAAAGCGUAUCAAUACCGUGUUCUUCCGUUCGGCUUAGCCCUGGCUCCCCGAACUUUUUCAAAAUGCAUGGACGCAGCUCUGGCCCCGUUGCGGCUCCAGGGCGUUCGUGUGUUGAAUUACUUGGACGAUUGGCUGGUGCUAGCUCAAUCACAGACUCAAGCACUCUCUCACCGAGAUUUAGUGCUGAAUCAUUUAAGAAGCCUGGGCUUAUGCACGAAUUUCCAGAAGAGUGUUUUAAUCCCCUCUCAACGGAUAACCUUUCUGGGAAUAGAUUUGGACUCUCGCGCGAUGACAGCCAGACUAUCUCUCCCGCGCGUUCAGUCUCUCACGUCAUGCGUGCGUCACUUCAAAGUAGGCCGCACAGUGACGGUGAGUUUGUGUCUCAGGCUGUUAGGUCUGAUGGCAGCGGCAUCCCCUGUAAUUCGUCUGGGCUUACUUCACAUGCGCCCUUUUCAGUGGUGGACGAAAAGUCAGAACAUUUCACCCCGUUGUUUUCCGCAUCGUACGAUUUCGGUGACACGGAGGUGUGUUAUGUCAAUAAAACAGUGGAUGUCAACCGAGUUCCUUCUAGCCGGAGUUCGGCUGGGGAUUUGUGCUUCCCGAGAGACUGUCACGACGGACGCGUCUUUGACCGGUUGGGGAGCUGUUUGUCAAGGGCGCCCAGCUCAUGGAGUGUGGACAGCGACACAACGCGGUUGGCACAUAAACAGGUUGGAACUACUGGCAGUUUUUCUAGCUCUCCAGUAUUUCUCAAAUCUGCUGACCGGCCGUCAUGUACUACUCAGGUCAGACAACAUGGCGGUUGUGUCAUACCUGAAUCAUCAAGGAGGGUUACGCUCUCGCCCCCUGUGCAGGCUGGCGAGGAGUAUUCUUCUUUGGUCUCGGAACAGAUUUCUAUCGAUCCGAGCAGUUCAUGUCCCCGGACGUUUGAACGUCGGAGCGGAUCUGCUAUCCAGACAGACUCUGGAGCAGGGGGAAUGGAGAUUACACCCACAGACGGUGAGCCUUUUAUGGCAGAUAUUCGGAGAGGCGAGAGUGGACUUAUUCGCGUCGAGCACGACUACGCAUUGCCCGCUGUGGUUCUCCCUAUGCCCUCCAUCGCCCCUAGGCUUGGAUGCGUUAGCUCACGAUUGGCCCAGGACCAGCUUGUAUGCUUUUCCUCCAAUUCGUUUAAUUCCAGCGGUGUUGUCCAGGAUACGGCUGGACAGAGUGGAGCAGCUGCUGCUGGUGGCUCCGUGGUGGCCCACACAGCCGUGGUUUGCGGAACUGGUCAGUCUAAUAGUGGGCUCUCCAUGGGAGAUUCCCCUCAGACAGGACUUACUAUCGCAAGCACGAGGGAUGAUUUGGCACCCGAGGCCAGAUCUGUGGAAACUGUGGGCGUGGCCUCUGAGCGGAGUGAGUUAAUAUGUCCCGGUCUUUCUGCGGAAACCUCCGAGACUAUUAUGAAUUCCAGAGCAGCAUCUACGAGACGCUUAUAUGCUUUCAAAUGGAAGCUGUUUACGACCUGGUGUGGUUUUCGUAGUAUAGACCCAGUUUACUGCCCAGUGGCUUCAGUACUGGAGUUCCUUCAAGACCGUUUCUCUGAUGGAGUAACGCCAGCAACUUUGAAAGUUUAUGUGGCAGCCAUUUCAGCUAACCACGUAUAUAUGGAUGGUGCUUCAGUGGGCCGUCAUCCGCUGGUCUCUCGCUUUUUACAAGGUGCGCGACGGCUGAGGCCUUUCCGCCCUGUGCGAGUUCCCUCAUGGGAUUUAUCUAUUGUACUGCAAGGUCUAUCAGGACAUCCGUUUGAGCCCUUGGAAACCGUACCGGAUAAAAUCCUGACCUUGAAGACAGUUCUUCUUAUGGCCUUAUCCUCCCUCAAGAGAGUUGGGGAUUUACAGGCUCUUUCUGUUUCGCCGUCGUGCAUGGAUUUUGCACCAGGCUUUGUGAAGGUAUUGCUGCGACCGAGGCCUAAUUAUGUCCCUAAAGUCGCUUCGAACCCCUUUCAUUUUCAGCAGACGGUCCUGGAGGCUUUACCCCCUGCUGGGACAGGAUCAGAAGAUCUAAGUCUUUGCCCUGUCAGAGCGCUUAAGACUUAUGUCGAUCGAUCAGCCUCAUGGCGUGAGUCCGACCAGCUGUUUGUCUGUUUUGGACACAAGAAUAGAGGCCAUGCUGUCACAAAGCAACGCAUGUCCCAUUGGUUGGUGGAGGCAAUAUCUUUAGCCUAUGAGGCGCGCGGUCUCGCCUCGCCUCUAGGAGUCAAAGCUCAUUCCACUAGAGCAGUCGCUUCCUCUCAGGCGGCCCUCAGUGGAUCUUCUAUGGCUGAUAUCUGUGCUGCGGCAGGAUGGUCCUCACCGAACACUUUUAUCAAGUUUUACAGUCUGGAUGUAAGGACGGCUCCUGGCUCCCGGGUUCUCUCCGCUUGA
ensembl:lncRNA